ensembl:misc_RNA Metazoa_SRP Metazoan signal recognition particle RNA
GCCGGGCGCGGUUGCGCGCGCCUGUAGUCCCAGCUACUCGGGAGGCUGAGGCAGGAGGAUCGCUUGAGCCCAGGAGUUCUGGGCUGUAGUGCGCUAUGCCGAUCGGGUGUCCGCACUAAGUUCGGCAUCGAUAUGGUGACCUCCCGGGAGCGGGGGACCACCAGGUUGCCUAAGGAGGGGUGAACCGGCCCAGGUCGGAAACGGAGCAGGUCAAAACUCCCGAGCUGGUCAGUAGUGGGAUCGCGCCUGUGAAUAGCCACUGCACUCCAGCCUGGGCAACACAGCGAGACCCCGUCUCUA